UAAGGAGAUUGACUAGAAAUCAAUUGGGCUCUGCCCGCGUAGGUUCGAAUCCUGCUGACUGCGUUAAACUUUUUU
ensembl:ncRNA B0334.18 ncRNA